CAAAAAUCCUAAUAUUUUUCUAACUCUAUAUAGACUUAAGAGAAGGUAAAUUUUCUGCUUGGCUCCAACAUAUACUUUUUUUUUUUGUCUGAACCGUUCAAGUAGGUGCACUGGUCUCCUUAACACAAUCAGAUUUCUGUUGGGUUCAAGGCACUGUUUGAUUGUUGUCCUCUAAGUUCAGCUCCCUUCCAGUGUCUCAUAGCCUUGGUGCAAUCCCCACAGCUGACAUCUUCUGUCACCACCAGUCCGGAGUCUUGCCAUGCCUGGUCUCCUUUGCUGCACACUGACCUUCUUAUCUUCUUUUCUUGGGCAGGAAAUCCUGGUGGAGAUUCCUCAGGGAGUUUCUGGGUCCAUCUGUGUGGUACUUUCCCAGAGCAGGACAUUGCUGUGCAUCUUCGCUGUUGAAAUCUUUGAGAGGGAACUAAUUUCCACAGCAGGUCACAGCUAAUGGAAUGGAGGAAAGGUUCCCAUUUCUGUUCUUCACUUCUCCUGCUGGCAGAGCUGGCAGGAUGGAAACCCAUGGCUUGCUGGAGAAAACUUGCUUCAUCCAUUUUGUGGACCUACUAAUAGUGUUUGCUGGCUUAUACAGCUUAUUUCUUUUCAAUUUUGCAUUGAUUUGAAAAAAAACCCAGCCCCUCUGUUGAAUUACACCUGUAAGAUGCAAACCUAAGCCACAAUACCCUGAUCAAAAAGGACAGCAGCUGGUUUAAUGCUCUCUUGCCAUCCAUAAAACAAACUAGAUUUUGUGUUGAGUUUCACUUUUAACAGUCUGAUCCCCACCAGUACUGCAAAGAAAAGUGUGUGAUUACUGUCCCCAUGCCUGUUCUCCUGCAGGCACCACUCCCUAUUUGUGAGUGUUGGACUCAGAGGUCAAAUGGCUAAUCACGUCUAAAACAAAUCCUGCAAAGUUUGUUUUCAUGUACAUUAAUUUCUUUGCAUUUCGGUGUUCUAAAUACAGAACUGCAGAAGGAUUUUAUAAAGACUGGGAAAUACAGGGGAAGGUGAAAUUUGGGGUAGGUCAUUGUGUUGUGUGAAAGGAAAUCCAGUCCUAACUCGCCUAUAAAGUUUGGGUUAAGACAUGGGAACAUUAACUCUUUGCCCAGCAGGAAAAGCAAAUUGGAUGUCAGCAGGUAGGAAGGAAGGAAGAUAUAAAACAGAGAACACAGCUUUGCCAUUGUAUGGUCCAGUCUAUAGCCAAGGCAUGGUCCAGUUCACUGCAUAAAUCCUGAAUGCUGUGUGUUGGUCUCACCCCCCAUUUCACAGAGGGGACUCAAAUAAGAAGCAGUAGAGCAAGAAAAGGUUCAGAGUAGGACAAAAUAUAGGAUCAGAGGUCUGGGAUGGGUUUUGUGUGGCUAGGACUCUUUACCCUGAAAACAUGUUUUAAAUGGAUUUACACUAAAGGUUUCCAGGGUAAGGAGUGUCUGGAAAGGAGUGGAGAGGGAUUGAUUAUUCCCUGGCUUUUCCAGUAGAGAAAGUAAGGGGCAGCAGGUGAAGCUGAUGGUGGGUGAAGCUGAAAGCAAAAGAAAUCCUCCACCCCAGGAUGUCCCUGACAAAGGACACUGUGGAUGCAGAGCCUGGAAAAAUGCUUCGAAGAGAGGUUCAUUGUGAGUUACUCAAUAGACAGCAACAGGCUCAGGAAAUCUAUUAAGUUAAAAAUAGACUCAAUAUUAAGGGAAAGCAUCAUAUAUGAUUUUCUUGUCAUUAUUACUUAGCCAUCUGCUCACAGCCAGUGCUGGAGACAGGAUGGUUGUCUGGAUGAACCUUUGCUUUGAACCAAAGCAAUCAUUUUUAUAUUCUUAAAUGUGAGAUCUCAUUACAAUGUGUCAUUUUAAGGAAGCCAUUUGUUACAAAACUCCACAUCCAUUUCCUCUGAAACACUAUUAAUUUUCCAAUUAUCUCAUUCUUUAAUGCUGGACACUUUAAUCUUCCUUAGAUGUUCACCCUGCACAAGGACACUUAUCCCAACAACAGAUCCUGUGGUUUUUCACAGAAGAACAUUUAUUCCUCCUGGAGAAGGGAUAAUGGCCAGGAAAGAUGUUUGAUCCUGGGCAAACUUCAGUUUCUGUUCCAGAUUUGGAAAGCAAGGAGUGACCCAGGUUUGGGGACCAGGAGAAUUUGCACAGAGGAAGCUUCCUUCCCCUGGCAUCUCCUUGGGGAUGUCACCCUGGGCUCUGCACAGUGGGAUGUGACCCAUGUUUUUAAUUGUAUCAAACUUAUCCUGGCUGUGGCAAUGAUAGAUGUCAGAUUAAAAUGAAAGGACCUGAGGAAAGGCAUCUAUUUUAGUAAUGGCUGUUCCACCACUGCUCUGACUCAUUUCCUCCUGCACCCAGAUGACUUGAGACAUGUAUUUUAACAACAGGAAUGUCAUUUGCAGCUCAUUGCUCUGGGCAGGAAUAUGCAAUCCCAGCUUCCAGGAAUAUUGUGUGUCAAUUUUUAUUUUUUUUUAAAGUGACUGAUAGGAAAUAUCCUAACUUGAACUUUGCAUUCAGUGUUGAUGUUAAGGCAUAAUGUUUUGAAGCCCCAUAGCUGGGCAUCAGUGUCUUGCUAGGACAUCAGUCAGUGAGUUUACCUUGUGCUUGCUCUGGAUGAUUGCACUUGGGCUUUGUUGAAGAAUGGCAGCAGUUCUUCCUGUGACCCUGCCUGUAAGUCAGGAGCCCCCAGAGCUCAGCAUCUCAUCCCUGAUGUGCCUGAAAAGGGGUCAGGUAUUGAUAGGACAAGGGGAAAUGGCCUCAGGUUGAGCCAAGGGAGGUUCAGUUGGAUAUUAGGAAAAAUUUCUUUGCUGAAGGAGUGGCUAAGAAGCGGAACAGGCUGCCCAGGGCAGUGGUGGAGUCACCAUCAGUGAUAGUGCUCAAAAAACAAGCAGACAUUGCAUUUUGGCAUUGAGGUAUUGGGUCAAAGGUUGGACUUGAUGAACUUGGGGAUAAUUUCCAACCAAAAUGAUUUUCUGAUUCUGUGCUAUGGUGGCACUCAGCUCUGGUGCUGCCAUGUGGAAGAGCAGCGUGCACCCAGCUCCUCUGGGGAUGCUGUGCCUGUUCCCAGAGGCACCUGCCCAGCAGGAUGCUUUUGUGCUGCAUUUCAUGCUGCCUGCACAGCCCACAGCCCCGGCUCUCCGAGCUGGGAGGGCACAGCAGGAUGUGUGGUGGGUGAGAUCACACGUACAGCUCAGGUCAGAGAUGUCUCUUAAGCCACAGCCCUCCUCCCUGCUGCGCCCUGCGGGGAGGGAGGGUGGUUGCUCACCACAUUUUGGUGCUCGACCUCCUGGCUGGAUGUUUUAACCACCAGCAGAGAAGAGGAGCAGAAAACCCAGCGUGGCUUGCAGCUGGGGCAGGGAAGGAUCGUGACAGUGGGAGACAGGAGAAGGCUGAUCCAUCAUUGGAAGGAAUCAAGGAAUAAAUUAGGGACCCUCAUGUGCCAGGACAUGGUGGCAGAAGUGACACUAAUGGACAAUGCUGUCACCUGGAUCUCUCUCUCUAUGGAUCCAGGGAUCAUGCUGUUAGCAGAGAUGCACAGAAACACUUUCCCAUUAAUAUUCAAGUUGGAAACACCAUGCCACGACAGAACACGGCAUCCCUGACCCUUGGCUGGCACCAUCACUGUGCUCUCAGCAAAGAAGUUGCAGAUAUCAGGGAAUUGGGAUAAUUUUUUAGCAUCUUUUCAUUAGUGUUUCUGUUUUGUGCUCAUUUAUGCUCUGGGAAAAAAAGUCUACGAAAUGGGAAUCUAUUUUUAUCCAUCAGCUCUCACAAUUGUGAAACCUGCUGCUAAAAUCUCUCCCAGUUUUACUGUAUAAAACACUAUUGAUCAUUACAGAAAUUACUAUUAUUUUUUCAUAAUUUCUACUGGUAAAGUGCCCAAACCUGUGUUUCAGCAUCUUUGGCUGUCACUGUCCUCUCCUGUUUUCACUGCACACAGGUGAUGUAGAGUCUGGGUGGGUUUUGGUUUUGCUUUUCUUUUUUUUUCACAUACAAAGGGAAAGUGAAGACUAGUUGGGGAAUUCAGACACUGAGCAAAUUCUUUGCUGUGGGGGAGCAGAGAGCUGAGGGGGAAGUCCCUAUCCUUUGUGCUUGUGUUAUUGGGGUUGGGCUAUAAGGAAUAAACCUUUGCCCGUGGGAAGUAUCAAAGGGGUUUUCUUACAGCUGUCGUGAAAAA